GAUGAACGCUGGCGGCGUGCCUAAUACAUGCAAGUCGAGCGAACGGACGAGAAGCUUGCUUCUCUGAUGUUAGCGGCGGACGGGUGAGUAACACGUGGAUAACCUACCUAUAAGACUGGGAUAACUUCGGGAAACCGGAGCUAAUACCGGAUAAUAUUUUGAACCGCAUGGUUCAAAAGUAAAAGACGGUCUUGCUGUCACUUAUAGAUGGAUCCGCGCUGCAUUAGCUAGUUGGUAAGGUAACGGCUUACCAAGGCAACGAUGCAUAGCCGACCUGAGAGGGUGAUCGGCCACACUGGAACUGAGACACGGUCCAGACUCCUACGGGAGGCAGCAGUAGGGAAUCUUCCGCAAUGGGCGAAGGCCUGACGGAGCAACGCCGCGUGAGUGAUGAAGGUCUUCGGAUCGUAAAACUCUGUUAUUAGGGAAGAACAUAUGUGUAAGUAACUGUGCACAUCUUGACGGUACCUAAUCAGAAAGCCACGGCUAACUACGUG
rnacentral:rRNA from 1 species